AUACUUCACAUUUGAAGCUGGGGAAAGCUAACCACUCGAAAACGCUGCUCCAGGGGCCUCCCGUGGUCCUCAAGUCUCCAGUCCCCAGCAAGGCAGAAGGAAGAAAUCUCCUUUCUGUGUGGAAAUAGAAACACUCUCGUGGGUGCCGUCUCUGGAAAUUCUCAGUCCAAGCACAGGCUAAGUAUGGCAGCCUCUGUAAGUAGGAGGCUGUCUCUGAGUGGCUAAAAUCUUACAUGGCAAACAUGGGUUCCCCGUGGAGGCUGCUUUGCCUAAUGGGUUGAAGUCUUGAAAAGUCUGAGCUGAAAGGAAAGAGGGACAGGAAAGAUGACCUGCAAGACAUUUCUCAGUUUUUUUAGACCUAUUUGGUUCCUGAUGGGCAAACAGUUUGACCAGUUGGUUGCAGCACUAAGGAAUAAGGGGCCCUGCACUCAGUUCCCAGCAACCUUGUCAUGGAGCUCAGAAUCACCCAUAACUCCAACUUCAGGGGAACCCAAUGCCUCUGACCUCCGUGGGCACCCACACUCACAAGGACACACCCACUCUGAUGUCCUAGCUGCCUGGAAGCCAGUGUUCUGCUUGAGGCCUUCAGAUGAAGAUGUAAAACUCUCACCUCUUCCUGCACCAUGCCUGCCUGGAUGCUGCCAUGUUUGUGCCUUGAUGAUAAUGGACUGAACCUCUGAACCUGAAAAAGAAUAAGAUGAUUACUGAUAUCCUGUGCUACAGCAGGCACUGGAAGGCCGUAUGGCUCCAGCGGGGUCUUCUCAGCUUGGUGGUCUCUCUUGGUUUGGAGCUCCUGGAACAUCUGUACUAGACUCGCUAAGUUCCCUUGGUGGGUCAUCGACAUGCCAGCCCCAUGUAAUGACUUCCCACCCCGUGGUCAGCUGUCACAAUGCCCAGCAACCUGGUUGAAACAAAACUCCAGAAACUUAUAAUUAAUCAAUUAGAAUUAUAUAUCAAUAAACUCUCAAUCCACAGGAUGCCC